rnacentral:rRNA from 1 species
CAUUUAAAAAGUGCGUAACAGCUUACCAGCCGACGCCUUUUCGCGCCAAUAAUGAACGGGACUCAAGCCUGAUGCCGACGCCUCGGAUGCCGCUUCGGCGGCAUGGUAGGGGAGCGUUCCACAGGGUAGAAGGUCGACCGUGAGGACGGCUGGACCUCGUGGAAGUGAUUAUGCCGGUACGAGUAGCGAUAAAGGAAGUGAGAAUCUUACCUCGCCGAAAGCCUAAGGUUUCCUGGGGAAGGUAAAUCCGCCCAGGGUUAGGCGGAACCUAAGUCGAGGCUGAAAAGCGUAGACGAUGGAUAACCGGUUAAUAUUCCGGUACUUCCUGACGGCGCUCGAGCGAUGGGGGAUCGAAGACAGGACGGCCAGCCAAACCCUAUGGUUACGGGCGGUCGAAUCCCGAGGGAUGGUUCCAGGAAAAUCCGGAGCGCCAACAUCCCAGAGGACUUAGCGGAGCUUUUAGCUCGGAAGUGGUCCGAAUGUCUUCCAAGAAAUGCCCUCUAGCGAGCCGCUCAGGAAUCCGUACUAAAACUGUCACAGGUAGGCAAGGAGAGUAUCCAAAGGCGCUCGAGAGAACUCUGGCUAAGGAACUCGGCAAAAUUGCCCCGUAACUUCGGGAUAAGGGGCUCCCCCUGGCGUGAAGCGGCUUGCCCGCCGAGCGCCGGAGGGACGCAGAAAUCGGCCCAAGCGACUGUUUACUAAAAACACAGGUCUCUGCCAACUCGAAAGAGGACGUAUAGGGACUGACGCGUGCCCGGUGCUGGAAAGUUAAGGGGAGAGGUUAGCCUGAUGGAAACUGACGGCGAAGCCUUGAACUGAAGCUCCAGUAAACGGCGGCCGUAACUAUGACGGUCCUAAGGUAGCGAAAUUCCUAGACGGGUAAGUUCCGUCCUGCACGAAGCGCGUAACGACUUGGGCACUGUCUCAGCCAGAGACUCGGCGAAACUGUAGUAGUGGUGAAGAUGCCACUUACCCGCAGCCAGACGAAAAGACCCCGUGAACCUUCACUACAGCAUGGCAUUGGCAUUUGAUUUGGAUUGUGUAGGAUAGGUGGGAGGCUUUGAACCGGGGACGCCAGUCCCCGUGGAGCCGCCAGUGAAAUACCACCCUAGCCACGUCGAAUGUCUAACCCUGGCCCGUGAAUCCGGGCGGGGGACCGUGUUUUGUGGGUAGUUUGACUGGGGCGGCCUCCUCCCAAAGAGUAACGGAGGAGCCCAAAGGUCGGCUCAGCGCGGUCGGCAAUCGCGCAAGGAGCGUAAGGGUAUAAGCCGGCUUGACUGCGAGACUCAUAAGUCGAGCAGAUGGGAAACCAGGGCCUAAUGACCCGAUGUGUCCCGUAUGGAAGGGCCAUCGAUCAACAGAUAAAAGGUACUCCGGGGAUAACAGGCUGAUCUCCCCCAAGAGUUCACAUCGCCGGGGAGGUUUGGCACCUCGAUGUCGGCUCAUCGCAUCCUGGGGCUGGAGAAGGUCCCAAGGGUUCGGCUGUUCGCCGAUUAAAGCGGUACGCGAGCUGGGUUUAGACCGUCGCGAGACAGGUCGGUCUCUAUCUGCUGUGGGCGCAGGACACCUGAAGGAGAGCUGCCAUUAGUACGAGAGGACUCUGGUGGACGGACCAAGGGUGGACCAGUUGUUCUACCAAGAGCACCGCUGGGUAGCCACGUCCGGAAUGGAUAAGCGCUGAAGGCAUCUAAGCACGAAGCCAACUCCAAGAUUAGGUGUCCCUAUCAGGCUCGUUGAAGAUCACAACGUUGAUAGGCCGGAGGUGUAAGCGCAGCAAUGCGUUCAGCUUGCCGGUACUAAUCAGCCGAUCGGCUUGACUGC